GUGACCUUCCCGGGCGUCCAGGGAAGCGGCGAGAGCUGCCACGCACGUGCCGCGGGACCCGCGCGCCGCCCAGGGAUGGCCCGCCGGGGUCGCUGGAGAAUCUCAGGGUCAUCGGCCUCCUUCCCCCAGUGCCUACCUGGAUAUGUGGUGCCUGUCAUAAGGUCCAGCGAGCUGCCUUCCACGAGACCAGCAGAAGAGUGGGCAAACGUGAAGUCCAGUCCUGCUGCCCAGGCUGCCAUUGACCUCACGGCGGGGGCUGCAGGUUCCUGCUUCUCCACGCCAAUGACAUGGUGAGAGAAUACAGGGGGAGCUGAAGACAAACAACAUAAACUUAUGUUUGCAAAGCACCUUUUACUCUGUGAAAUAAAGUGAGUGCAAGCAGUAAAUGGAACAACAAGCUUUCAGAGUCACUGCAGGGCAAGAGCUGGGGAAGGAAGAGCUGGCUGGUCAGGGAGGAUGCACUGGAGAGAAAAACCAUCACUCAAUUGGCUAGGACAUUCCAGGACAUCAGGGAGACCACACAACAGCCAGAGUGUCUCUUCUCCUCCAAAUGAACGCAACACCUCUCCAGCAAGGGCACAGAACUGGGCUGAGGCUGAGUAUUGCUGAGGCAAUACCGUUUAGAACAUAGGCACGGGUAAGGAUUUCAUGACAAAAACACCAAAAGCAAUUGCAACCAAAGCAAAAAUUGAUAAAUGGGAUCUAAUUGAACCUAAGAGCUUCUGCAUAGCAAAAGAAACUAUCAUCGGAGUGAACAGACAGCAUACAGAAUGGGAGAAAAUUUUUGCAAUCUGUCUGUCUGACAAAGGCCUAAUAUCCAGAAUCUAUAAGGAACUUAAACAAAUUUACAAGAAAAAAAACAACCCCAUUAAAAAGUAGGCAAAGAACAUAAACACACACUUCUCAAAAGAAGGCAUUCAUGUGGCCAACAAACAUAUGGAAAAAAAAAGCUUAACAUCACUGAUCUUUAGAGAAAGGCAAAUCAAAACCACAAUGAGAUAUCAUCUCAUGCCAGUCAGAAUGGCAAUUAUUAAGAAGUCCAGAAACAACAGAUACUGGCAAGGUUGCAGAGAAAAAGGAAAGCUUUUACACUGUCGAUGGGAAUGUAAAUUAGUUCAACCCUUGUGGAAGACAGUAUGGCAAUUCCUCAAAGAUCUAAAGGCAGGAAUAGCAUUUGACGCAGCAAUCCCAUUACUGGAUAUAUACCCAAAGGAAUAUAAAUCAUUCUGUUAUAAAUAUACAUGCACCUGUAUGUUUAUUGCAACACUAUUCACAAUAGCAAAGACAUGGAAUCAACCCAAAUGCCUAUGAAUGAUAAACUGGAUAAAGACAAUGUGGUACACAUACACCAUGGAAUACUAUGCAGCCAUAAAAGGGAAGGAGAUCAUGUCCUUUGUAGGGACACAGAUGGAGCUGGAAGCUGUUAUCUUCAGCAAACUAAUAGAGGAACAGAAAACAAAACAACACAUGUUCUCACUUAUAAGUGGGCGCUGAAUGAUGAGAUCACAUGGACACAUGGCAGGGAAGAAAACACACUGAGGCCUGUUGCGGGGAGGGCCUGAUGGGGGGAGGGAGAGCAUCAGGAAGAACAGAUAAUGGAUGCUGGGCUUAAUACCAAGGUGAUGGGUUGAUCUGUGCAGCAAACCACCAUGGCACACAUUUACCAAUGUAACAAAACUGCACAUCCUGCACAUGUACUCCAGAACUUAAAAUAAAAGUUGAAGGAAACAAAAACAAAAAUGAGGCCGGACGUGGGAGCUCACCCCUGUAAUCCCAGCACAUUAGGAGACCAAGGUGGAUUGUUCACGAGGUCAGGAGUUUGAGACCAGCCUGACCAACAUGGUGAAACCCCAUCUCUACUAAAAAUACAAAAAUUAGCCAAGUGCGGUGGGGGGCACCUGUAAUCCCAGCUACUCAGGAGGCUGAGGCAGGAGAAUCACUUGAACCUGGGAGGUGGAGGUUGCAGUGAGCCAAGAUGGCGCCAUUGCACUCCAGCCUGGGUGACAGAGCAAGACUUCAUCUCAAAACAAAACAAAAAACAAAAAUAAAAAACCCUUUAUAAAUAUUUGUUAAAUUGGUAGGAUUGUUAGCAUAAUUUACAAAAAUUUUAUUCACAUUAUACUAUAACAUAUCUAAAUAACAUUCGUGUUAACAAAUAUCAACGGUUCUUUGAUUUAAAAGUGGUGAAAAACAAGCUAAUCAUAAGUUUUAUAUACACCCAUAUAUUUUCCAAUAGCAUGACACUGUCCAGAUAUUUAGAAAUAGGCUAUCCGGAAAAGAAAGAACUUGCUGAACUCCAGAAAAUAUAAAGUAGAUACAAUUCAAGGUUUUUGAACCUUGGAAAAGGAAGGGUAAUUUUCUAUAAAUAAUUUUUUCACAACUGUGUUUCUUAUAUUCAUACCCGGGUAUCUUAAUUGGUGUAUUACCAAUUUGCUUCGCUAGAUAGAGAUAUGAGGCCCAAGAACUACAAAUUUCUUCAAAAAUGAAGCAUAGCUCUUGAUAUUUUGAAAAACAUAAUUUAUUUAUAGAAGAGAAACUACAGCCUGUAAGACAUCUUCUUAAGGGAGACGAUCUUCCAUGUAAUAAAUUGUUGGCCCCAGGGAGAAACGUUUGCUGGGAUUGAUGGUGAGUAGUUUACUAG
rnacentral:lncRNA from 1 species